UAUGUUUUAGUAUAAUUGUACGUAAGUUUUUGAUACUUAAAGUGUUGGGGAGAUCCAGUAAAUGUAA
rnacentral:tRNA from 1 species